rnacentral:lncRNA from 1 species
CUUAAUUUGGUGAAAGUGACAAAAAGAAUGUAAAACUUGGAUAUUUUUUGUUGUUGUUCAUUUUGCAUAUAUAUUUACAUAUUUAAACCUUACUUCCUAAGACUGCUUUUUUUUUUUUUUUUUUUCAGUUUAACCAGUAAACAAAUAAGAGGAGAAACUACCCCACAUCUCCUGAGCAAAACUACUUUUGCCCCAACAUGUGCCUGUGUGGAAAAGAAUGCCAGAUACUGAAUAUCUGAUCUCCUUUUGGCAGGAAGCUAACCAGCGUAAGAGUGGGUGAAUAUUUUUAUUCAAAGAAAACAAUGAGUACUUUGUUGAAGUUGCUGGAUGGAUAUUCCUUUUUAUAUUCACAAGUGCUGGAGGAACAGCAGUGGAUUCCCAGCCUUACUUCAUCUCCUAGUCUGUAUCUACUUGCUGCAAAGCACUUGAAUGUGCUAUGAAGACAUAGAAAAAUCCUGCUGUCAGACUGGAGCGAAAACUACAAAAAAUGUAAGUGGUAAUUCAAAUUUAGAAAUAAUUUCACUGAAACUGGAUUUCUGC